rnacentral:rRNA from 1 species
CCUACGGGGCGCAGCAGUGAGGAAUAUUGGUCAAUGGUCGGGAGACUGAACCAGCCAAGCCGCGUGAGGGAUGAAGGUACAGAGUAUCGUAAACCUCUUUUGUCAGGGAACAAAGGCGGGGACGUGUCCCCGGAUGAGUGUACCUGAAGAAAAAGCAUCGGCUAACUCCGUGCCAGCAGCCGCGGUAAUACGGAGGAUGCGAGCGUUAUCCGGAUUUAUUGGGUUUAAAGGGUGCGCAGGCGGCCUGUCAAGGCAGCGGUAAAAGCCCGGGGCUCAACCCCGGCCCGCCGUUGAAACUGGCAGUCUCGAGUUGGAGAGAAGUAUGCGGAAUGCGCGGUGUAGCGGUGAAAUGCAUAGAUAUCGCGCAGAACUCCGAUUGCGAAGGCAGCAUGCCGGCUCCACACUGACGCUGAGGCACGAAAGCGUGGGUAUCGAACAGGAUUAGAUACCCCUGUAGUC